rnacentral:rRNA from 1 species
UGGGGAAUUUUGCACAAUGGGGGAAACCCUGAUGCAGCGACGCCGCGUGAUUUAGAAGGCCUUCGGGUUGUAAACCGCUUUUGAUUGGGAGCAAGCUUUCGGGUGAGUGUACCUUUCGAAUAAGCGCCGGCUAACUACGUGCCAGCAGCCGCGGUAAUACGUAGGGCGCAAGCGUUAUCCGGAAUUAUUGGGCGUAAAGAGCUUGUAGGCGGUUCGUCGCGUCUGGUGUGAAAGCCCAUCGCUUAACGGUGGGUUUGCGCCGGGUACGGGCGGGCUAGAGUGCAGUAGGGGAGACUGGAAUUCCCGGUGUAACGGUGGAAUGUGUAGAUAUCGGGAAGAACACCAAUGGCGAAGGCAGGUCUCUGGGCUGUUACUGACGCUGAGAAGCGAAAGCGUGGGGAGCGAACAGG